GUGCUGCAUGAUUUUGACGUGGUUUAAUCAAUGCCGUGCGCGUGAACUUUCGAGUAUUUCAAACACUGGAGCGGCCGGCGCGCAGAGUUGCCAUGGAAACGGCGCGGGACCACUGCUACUGGUAAGCAACAAAACUCCCUCUCUCGAUGUUGUUUAAACUUUUCACGGCUUUUUCCAGUAGUAACAAAAUAACCCAUAACAGAGAGAAAGCUCCACGACUUCAACAUUUCUGGAGAAAGCUGCUGCCGGAGAAGUAACGUUAGGACACAGAACAAGUCUGUGACUGACUUAAUGAACCCAGUUGCUUUGGAUCAUGCUCAAAGAUGUAAGGGUUACAAAAAGUUAACCAGAACUCUUAUGGACUCCAUCUUCUCUUUCGAAGAGAUGGCAGCAUGAACGGAAAAAAAGGGGUUGUUGGUGAAAAAAGAGCCUUGACCUACAAAAGGUGCAGCUAAUAAUUGACCAUGUCAAAAAGAGGCACCCAGGCAUCGGAGGCACUGAGAUCAAGGUCUGCAUGGCACAAAAGUUAAAAGAUCUGAGGAGACGAGCAGAAAGGAUGCCUGCUGCAGGAGACACAAAGGACUGAGACAACACACUUUCACAAACGCACACCACACACACACACAUGCGCGUAUACCUGCGUUUUUU